GAUGAACGCUGGCGGCGUGCCUAAUACAUGCAAGUCGAGCGAACAGACGAGGAGCUUGCUCCUCUGACGUUAGCGGCGGACGGGUGAGUAACACGUGGAUAACCUACCUAUAAGACUGGGAUAACUUCGGGAAACCGGAGCUAAUACCGGAUAAUAUAUUGAACCGCAUGGUUCAAUAGUGAAAGACGGUUUUGCUGUCACUUAUAGAUGGAUCCGCGCCGCAUUAGCUAGUUGGUAAGGUAACGGCUUACCAAGGCAACGAGGCGUAGCCGACCUGAGAGGGUGAUCGGCCACACUGGAACUGAGCCACGGUCAAGACUCCUACGGGAGGCAGCAGUAGGGAAUCUUCCGCAGUGGGCGAAAGCCUGACGGAGCAACGCCGCGUGAGUGAUGAAGGUCUUCGGAUCGUAAAACUCUGUUAUUAGGGAAGAACAAAUGUGUAAGUAACUAUGCACGUCUUGACGGUAACUAAUCAGAAAGCCACGGCUAACUACGUG
rnacentral:rRNA from 1 species